UACGUAGGGAGCAAGCGUUGUCCGGAAUCAUUGGGCGUAAAGCGCGCGUAGGUGGCUUCGUAAGUCCGCUGUGAAAGUCAAAGGCUCAACCUUUGAAAGCCGGUGGAUACUGGAUGGCUAGAGUACGGAAGAGGCGGUGGAAUUCCUGGUGUAGCGGUGGAAUGCGCAGAUAUCAGGAGGAACACCAAUAGCGAAGGCAGCUCGCUGGGACGUUACUGACACUGAGGCGCGAAAGCGUGGGGAGCGAACAGG
rnacentral:rRNA from 1 species